GGAUACGGCCAUACUGCGGAGAAAGCACCGCUUCCCGUCCGAUCAGCGAAGUUAAGCUCCGCCAGGCGAUGUUAGUACUGGGGUGGGUGACCACCCGGGAAUCCAUCGUGCUGUAUUCUCCU
rnacentral:rRNA from 1 species